GAUGAAGAACGCAGCGAAAUGCGAUAAGUAGUGUGAAUUGCAGAAUUCAGUGAAUCAUCGAAUCUUUGAACGCACAUUGCGCCCCUUGGUAUUCCAUGGGGCAUGCCUGUUCGAGCGUCAUUUGUACCCUCAAGCUAUGCUUGGUGUUGGGUGUUUGUCCUCUCCUUUGCGAUUGGACUCGCCUUAAAGACAUUGGCAGCCAGUGUAUUGGUCUUGAAGCGCAGCACAUUUUGCGAUUCUUGCUGAUAAUCACUAGCGUCCAGUAAGCCUAUUUUAACACUUUUGACCUCGGAUCAGGCAGGGAUACCCGCUGAACUUAAGCAUAUCAAUAAGCGGAGGA
rnacentral:misc_RNA from 1 species